rnacentral:sRNA from 1 species
ACUCAAUGUUUACUCAUGUCUGACAGACUUGUCAAUGAUUUGAACAAGUCAAGUCUCUGUGACACUGGAUGGCAAUGUGUUCCACAGGUGAAUCAAUCACAGAAGGAAGAAGGAUAUUUGCAAUGUCUCUGUUCUGGCAUAAGGGACCUGCAGUCGAUGCUGAUUGUCUCUAAUAGGAGCACCGACAAGAUGGCGGAACGGUGAAGAUGGAAUUGUUUCUAGAGAGUGCAAGAUCUUGUACAUCAACACUGCUUUUGCUUGUUUUAGUUAUUGUAAAGGUUCCAGUUUCUAAGGCAAUCAUCAAAGUUCAAUCAUCAAUCAUCAUCAUGGAAGUUUCUAAGUUCCGGUUUCUAACAGUUUCUAAAGCGAGGCAAGCUAUUUACAAACAAGAUGAUAAAACAGAACUAUCAACAGUCUCGUAUGAAGUCAUCUUUUCGUAAGAUUUAUGGUCGAUACAACGACCUUGUCAGCAAAUACAAUCUUCCACUGGGUCGAAUGCUGACUGACGUUUUUCAUACUAAUUGUUAGACCAUAAACAACAGGAUUGUUGUUUGCGGUAUCCAUGCUGAUGUAAUAUAGGAUGUUGUGUUGGUCAAAGAACCGCAUGAUGGAGAUGUGUAUAACGUGUUCCAAGACAUUGCAGUAAACUGAUGUUAUAGACGGUGGCCGAUAGUUGGACGGUUUGCUCUUGUCUCCCUUCUUGAUGAUUGGUGUGAUUAGCUAAUACCGGUUUGUUGGAGAUCUGCCUUGCUGUAGUGUGGCCUGAAAGACAAGUGUAAGUGCGGGGGUGAUUUCAACAGCCAUUUCCUUGAUUAGUUACAUUGGUUUGAAGUUUGAUUUAAAAUGUCCUUCUGUAAACUCUUUCUAUGUAAAUAUUGUUGUAUUAUUAUGGCAUGAAGAUGCAUAAUUGUCAUUUUUUUAGUGUUUGAAAUUGCUUU